rnacentral:rRNA from 2 species
CCCUGUCAGGACGAACGCUGGCGGCGUGCCUAAUACAUGCAAGUCGAACGAACUCUGGUAUUGAUUGGUGCUUGCAUCAUGAUUUACAUUUGAGUGAGUGGCGAACUGGUGAGUAACACGUGGGAAACCUGCCCAGAAGCGGGGGAUAACACCUGGAAACAGAUGCUAAUACCGCAUAACAACUUGGACCGCAUGGUCCGAGUUUGAAAGAUGGCUUCGGCUAUCACUUUUGGAUGGUCCCGCGGCGUAUUAGCUAGAUGGUGGGGUAACGGCUCACCAUGGCAAUGAUACGUAGCCGACCUGAGAGGGUAAUCGGCCACAUUGGGACUGAGACACGGCCCAAACUCCUACGGGAGGCAGCAGUAGGGAAUCUUCCACAAUGGACGAAAGUCUGAUGGAGCAACGCCGCGUGAGUGAAGAAGGGUUUCGGCUCGUAAAACUCUGUUGUUAAAGAAGAACAUAUCUGAGAGUAACUGUUCAGGUAUUGACGGUAUUUAACCAGAAAGCCACGGCUAACUACGUGCCAGCAGCCGCGGUAAUACGUAGGUGGCAAGCGUUGUCCGGAUUUAUUGGGCGUAAAGCGAGCGCAGGCGGUUUUUUAAGUCUGAUGUGAAAGCCUUCGGCUCAACCGAAGAAGUGCAUCGGAAACUGGGAAACUUGAGUGCAGAAGAGGACAGUGGAACUCCAUGUGUAGCGGUGAAAUGCGUAGAUAUAUGGAAGAACACCAGUGGCGAAGGCGGCUGUCUGGUCUGUAACUGACGCUGAGGCUCGAAAGUAUGGGUAGCAAACAGGAUUAGAUACCCUGGUAGUCCAUACCGUAAACGAUGAAUGCUAAGUGUUGGAGGGUUUCCGCCCUUCAGUGCUGCAGCUAACGCAUUAAGCAUUCCGCCUGGGGAGUACGGCCGCAAGGCUGAAACUCAAAGGAAUUGACGGGGGCCCGCACAAGCGGUGGAGCAUGUGGUUUAAUUCGAAGCUACGCGAAGAACCUUACCAGGUCUUGACAUACUAUGCAAAUCUAAGAGAUUAGACGUUCCCUUCGGGGACAUGGAUACAGGUGGUGCAUGGUUGUCGUCAGCUCGUGUCGUGAGAUGUUGGGUUAAGUCCCGCAACGAGCGCAACCCUUAUUAUCAGUUGCCAGCAUUAAGUUGGGCACUCUGGUGAGACUGCCGGUGACAAACCGGAGGAAGGUGGGGAUGACGUCAAAUCAUCAUGCCCCUUAUGACCUGGGCUACACACGUGCUACAAUGGAUGGUACAACGAGUUGCGAACUCGCGAGAGUAAGCUAAUCUCUUAAAGCCAUUCUCAGUUCGGAUUGUAGGCUGCAACUCGCCUACAUGAAGUCGGAAUCGCUAGUAAUCGCGGAUCAGCAUGCCGCGGUGAAUACGUUCCCGGGCCUUGUACACACCGCCCGUCACACCAUGAGAGUUUGUAACACCCAAAGUCGGUGGGGUAACCUUUUAGGAACCAGCCGCCUAAGGUGGGACAGAUGAUUAGGGUGAA